CGGUAGCGGCGGGAUGGACGUCCCCGGCAGGUGUCACCGGGUCGCGGCUCCCUGGAGGAAGCUGUCUAAGGAGGAGCUGGAGAAUCAGUACAGCCCCAGCAGAUGGGUUAAACGACGGGGAGCCGAGGAGGCCCUGAGGACCUACUCACAGAUAGGGGAUGAGGCUACGAAGAGGGCCCGAGCCACCAGGAGCCUGCUGAAUGUCCCCUAUGGGGACGGCGAGGGGGAGAAACUGGACAUCUACUUUCCUGAUCGAGUGUCUGAAGCCUCGCCUUUCUGUGUGUUCCUUCACGGCGGGUACUGGCAGAGCGGAAGUAAAGAUACAUCAGCCUUCACGGUCAACCCAGUGACAGCAGAGGGAGUGGCCGUGGUGGUCGUGGGUUAUGACAUAGCCCCCAAAGGUACCCUGGACCAGAUGGUAGACCAAGUGGCCCGGAGUGUCGUGUUUAUCCAGAAGCAGUAUCCACACAACAGGGGGAUUUACCUGUGCGGACACUCAGCCGGGGCCCACCUCGCCGCCAUGAUGCUCCUGGCCAGCUGGACCAAGCACGGAGUCACACCCAACCUCAAAGGCUUCUUCUUGGUAAGUGGGAUCUAUGACCUGGAGCCCAUCGUGUUCACCUCUCAGAACAUCCCUCUCCUCAUGACGCUGGAGGAUGCCCGGAGGAACAGCCCGCAGCUGAUCCUGGAGGCGGCCUUGGUGCAGCCCGUGGACCCCGCCUGCCGGGUGCUGGUGAUUGUGGGCCAGUAUGACUCCCCCGAAUUCUUCCGACAAUCCAGGGAAUUUUAUCAGACACUGUGCAGAGGAGGGUGGAAUGCCUCAUUCGAAGAACUCCAGGAUGUGGAUCAUUUUGAAAUCAUCUGGAAGCUAACCCAGAAGGACUAUGUGCUCACGCAGAUGAUUUUGAGAACAAUCCUCCAGGAACCCGGAUAGCACUGGACCCCCCAGGGUGCGCCCCGCUGACCGCACGGGCUUCCCCUUCCUGCCAGCCUCAGCUCUCCCCACGCCCGGGAGCGCCUCCAUUUGCUCGGAACACCACUUGGACUCUCCAUGGCCUUUUGCUCAUCUGGAUACCUCAACUGGAUUCAGACACUUCCACCAGCGACUCUGGGUCUCCGCUUAUUCGCCCGUAAAAGAAUCCGGCUGCAGCAGGGGCAGGAGCGGGCAGACAGACCAGAGGCAGAAAGGAGACUCGGGCCCCAGCACAUGGUGAGUGGACUUGAGUAUGUGACAAGGGUGGCGUUUCAAACCUGCCUUUGUUCAAAGCUGCUGACUGAACAAACAGCGUGGGGGCACCUGGCCAGAUCUUGGGAAACAAAUCUGAACCCUUUUCAUGCACCUUCGAUUGAUAUACUUCUGAAGGGAUCAGACAUUUCUUUUUAAAGACCAAGACUGUAACAAUAAAC